GAUCAUUAGCGCGCAGGCCGGAGGCUGGCCCCCCACGAUAGGGCCAAACGUCCGUCAGGGGUGAGCAGAUGUGCGCCGGCCGUACCGCCCCAUUCUUGUCUACAUUACUCGGUUGCCUCGGCGGGCCGCGCUCUCCCAGGAGAGCCGUUCGGCGAGCCUCUCUUUAGUGGCUAAACGCUGGACCGCGCCCGCCGGAGGACAGACGCAAAAAAAUUCUUUCAGAAGAGCUGUCAGUCUGAGCGUUAGCAAGCAAAAAUCAGUUAAAACUUUCAACAACGGAUCUCUUGGUUCCGGCAUCGAUGAAGAACGCAGCGAAAUGCGAUAAGUAAUGUGAAUUGCAGAAUUCCGUGAAUCAUCGAAUCUUUGAACGCACAUUGCGCCCCCUGGCAUUCCGGGGGGCAUGCCUGUUCGAGCGUCAUUUCAGCCCCUCAAGCCCGGCUUGUGUGAUGGACGACCGUCCGGCGCCCCCGUCUUUGGGGGUGCGGGACGCGCCCGAAAAGCAGUGGCCAGGCCGCGAUUCCGGCUUCCUAGGCGAAUGGGCAACAAACCAGCGCCUCCAGGACCGGCCGCCCUGGCCUCAAAAUCUGUUUUAUACUUAUCAGGUUGACCUCGGAUCAGG
rnacentral:misc_RNA from 1 species